rfam:Tupaia chinensis contig54364, whole genome shotgun sequence.
AUCGCUUCUCGGCCUUUUGGCUAAGAUCAAGUGUAGUAACAUUGAAGGGUUAAUGAAUAAGAUGACAGGUAAGGAUGGCAUACAACUGACCAUAAAUUGAGAUGCUGAGGUUGAGCCGUUAUAGAGUGAUUAUUACAUCAAUUCUUCUACUUAUGUUUUUGUUUGAAAAUGUUCAUGACAAAAAGUGUUUUU